UGACGAGGCGAGGGCGGGGCCGCCGGCCCGGGGAGCCACCGCCGCCGCCGCCGCCGCUUGGGCCGGGAAGCGAUGUAGUAGCUGCCAGGCUGUCCCCCGCCCUGCCCGGCCCGAGCCCCGCGGGCCGCCGCCGCCACCGCCGCCAUGAAGAAGCAGUUCAACCGCAUGAAGCAGCUGGCUAACCAGACCGUGGGCAGAGCUGAGAAAACAGAAGUCCUUAGUGAAGAUCUAUUACAGAUUGAGAGACGCCUGGACACGGUGCGGUCAAUAUGCCACCAUUCCCAUAAGCGCUUGGUGGCAUGUUUCCAGGGCCAGCAUGGCACCGAUGCCGAGAGGAGACACAAAAAACUGCCUCUGACAGCUCUUGCUCAAAAUAUGCAAGAAGCAUCGACUCAGCUGGAAGACUCUCUCCUGGGGAAGAUGCUGGAGACGUGUGGAGAUGCUGAGAAUCAGCUGGCUCUCGAGCUCUCCCAGCACGAAGUCUUUGUUGAGAAGGAGAUCGUGGACCCUCUGUACGGCAUAGCCGAGGUGGAGAUUCCCAACAUCCAGAAACAGAGGAAGCAGCUUGCAAGACUGGUGUUAGACUGGGAUUCAGUCAGAGCCAGGUGGAACCAAGCUCACAAAUCCUCAGGAACCAACUUUCAGGGGCUUCCAUCAAAAAUAGAUACUCUAAAGGAAGAGAUGGAUGAAGCUGGAAAUAAAGUAGAACAGUGCAAGGAUCAACUUGCAGCAGACAUGUACAACUUUAUGGCCAAAGAAGGGGAGUAUGGCAAAUUCUUUGUUACGUUAUUAGAAGCCCAAGCAGAUUACCAUAGAAAAGCAUUAGCAGUCUUAGAAAAGACCCUCCCCGAAAUGCGAGCCCAUCAAGAUAAGUGGGCGGAAAAACCAGCCUUUGGGACUCCCCUAGAAGAACACCUGAAGAGGAGCGGGCGCGAGAUUGCGCUGCCCAUUGAAGCCUGUGUCAUGCUGCUUCUGGAGACAGGCAUGAAGGAGGAGGGCCUUUUCCGAAUUGGGGCUGGGGCCUCCAAGUUAAAGAAGCUGAAAGCUGCUUUGGACUGUUCUACUUCUCACCUGGAUGAGUUCUAUUCAGACCCCCAUGCUGUAGCAGGUGCUUUAAAAUCCUAUUUACGGGAAUUGCCUGAACCUUUGAUGACUUUUAAUCUGUAUGAAGAAUGGACACAAGUUGCAAGUGUGCAGGAUCAAGACAAAAAACUUCAAGACUUGUGGAGAACAUGUCAGAAGUUGCCACCACAAAAUUUUGUUAACUUUAGAUAUUUGAUCAAGUUCCUUGCAAAGCUUGCUCAGACCAGCGAUGUGAAUAAAAUGACUCCCAGCAACAUUGCGAUUGUGUUAGGCCCUAACUUGUUAUGGGCCAGAAAUGAAGGAACACUUGCUGAAAUGGCAGCAGCCACAUCCGUCCAUGUGGUUGCGGUGAUUGAACCCAUCAUUCAGCAUGCCGACUGGUUCUUCCCUGAAGAGGUGGAAUUUAAUGUAUCAGAAGCAUUUGUACCUCUCACCACCCCAAAUUCGAAUCACUCAUUCCACACUGGAAACGACUCUGACUCGGGGACCCUGGAGAGGAAGCGGCCUGCUAGCAUGGCGGUGAUGGAAGGAGACUUGGUGAAGAAGGAAAGCUUUGGUGUGAAGCUUAUGGACUUCCAGGCCCACCGGCGGGGUGGCACUCUAAAUAGAAAGCACAUAUCCCCUGCUUUCCAGCCGCCACUUCCGCCCACAGAUGGCAGCACCGUGGUGCCCGCUGGCCCAGAGCCCCCUCCCCAGAGCUCUAGGGCUGAAAGCAGCUCUGGGGGUGGGACUGUCCCCUCCUCCGCGGGCAUACUGGAGCAGGGGCCGAGCCCAGGCGACGGCAGUCCUCCCAAACCGAAGGACCCUGUAUCUGCAGCUGUGCCAGCACCAGGGAGAAACAACAGUCAGAUAGCAUCUGGCCAAAACCAGCCCCAGGCAGCUGCUGGCUCCCACCAGCUCUCCGUGGGCCAACCUCACAAUGCUGCAGGGCCCAGCCCGCAUACACUGCGCCGAGCUGUUAAAAAACCCGCUCCAGCACCCCCGAAACCAGGCAACCCACCUCCUGGCCACCCCGGGGGCCAGAGUUCUUCAGGAACAUCUCAGCAUCCACCCAGUCUGUCACCAAAGCCACCCACCCGAAGCCCCUCUCCUCCCACCCAGCACACGGGCCAGCCUCCAGGCCAGCCCUCCGCCCCCUCCCAGCUCUCAGCACCCCGGAGGUACUCCAGCAGCCUGUCUCCAAUCCAAGCUCCCAAUCACCCGCCGCCGCAGCCCCCUACACAGGCCACGCCACUGAUGCACACCAAACCCAAUAGCCAGGGCCCUCCCAACCCCAUGGCAUUGCCCAGUGAGCAUGGACUUGAGCAGCCAUCUCACACCCCUCCCCAGACUCCAACGCCCCCCAGUACUCCGCCCCUAGGAAAACAGAACCCAAGUCUGCCAGCUCCUCAGACCCUGGCGGGGGGUAACCCUGAGACUGCACAGCCACAUGCUGGAACCUUACCGAGACCGAGACCAGUACCAAAGCCAAGGAACCGGCCCAGCGUGCCCCCACCCCCACAACCUCCUGGUGUCCACUCAGCUGGGGACAGCAGCCUCACCAACACAGCACCAACAGCUUCCAAGAUAGUAACAGAUGCCCUUCCUAGUGCCCUCACAGGUGGGGAAGGUUUCCAGGACUAAGGUCUGUAAUGGCCCCGAGCAGCUUGCCCCAUAGCUCGCCCCACAGCUCCAAAUGCUCCUGCUUAGCCGUGUUUUUUUUGCAUAUGUGCUUUUGACCGUGUGCUCAGGAGCAGCCGUUUGACCGUGUGCCCUGACAGCCAAUGGGCCAUCCAUUCUGUAGCAUAUUGACAUUUCUUUAUUUUUAUCAGAAGCACUUUGAACUGCAGUGCUUCAAAUUCAAGGAGUAGAUGUCAGUAGAUCAAGAGCCUGAUUUCAAGCUGCUCUUGAAGAGUAUCUUCUUUCUUAGGGGCCAGGCACAGUGGCUCGUGCCUCUAAUCCCAGUACUUUGAGUGGCUGAGGCAAGAGGAUUGCUUGAGCUCAGGAGUUCGAGACUGCAUUGGGUAGUGAUUGUGUCACUGCACACUGCAGUCCAGCCUGCGUGACAGAAUGAGACCCUGUCUCUUAAAAAAAAAAAAAAAAAAAAGGAAUAUCUUCUAUCUUUUUGGUGAGCCUCUUAGCAGCAGUCUACUCUUCCCAGUGUGCUUUACCUGUCACUGAUGGGCUCACCAGCAUCCAACCAAAGAGGACCCAGGUGCAGUCAGCACGGGAGGAAAUUGUGUCCUUUGUGUCUUGAGCUUCAAUUUUAAGUUUUUGUAUCUUAAGUGCAAGUUAACUGCAUGGAGCUUCUUAAUUUGAUAUUUUAAAUUCUCAAUACCCAAAAAUUAAAAAAAGUCUUCCGCCAAAUACCCUACACUGAAUUAUUUUAAAUUCCUUUGCAUUCUAGCAUGCUUACGUUUUGCUUUAUUAAACCAUAUGAGCUUUUUAAAAGGCACUGUGAGCUCAUCUAAGUCUGCCGCUGGGUCUCCAUGUGGACAGCAUAAGGCCCUCAUUAUGUGUACAGCUGCUUUCAUCAGCUGGCCUGAGCCUUACGCCUACUGUGGGCCCCUUAGCCAGAGUGCUCACAGCUUAGGUCUGAGUAAGGCUUUCUGUAGGAACCGUAAGUGGAAAACCAGAGCGUAGCCUUCAAAACAGGGAGGAGGCCCGGGUGCGAUUCCACAAUUUCAUGCUUGUGACACACCAAAAUGUUAUUCUCAGAUAUUUCCUUUUAUUUAAAUGAAAGAUUCCAAACCAGAAUUAUGCCUAUUUUUUAAUACCAUUGUUACCCGGGGUGUAUUUAUUCCACAAGUUUAGUUUACUGAUCUGCUACAACACUGUAAUGUACUGCCUGUAAUUAUUAGAUAAGUGAAAUUUUACAUUAAAAAUGUGUUUCCCAAAGAUACUAGCUAUUUAAAAACCAGUCUAUACUAUGAAUUCUCCUAACUCAAGAAAUUCCAGGUUACCAGAGUUAUCUUUGUAUUACAGAAUUAACCUGUACUAUCUUAAAAUCCCCUGGCCUCCCAUUGAAAGUACACAGAAGGCCAACAUUUAGAAUUUUUUAAUCUGCUAGUAUUGAUCAUACUGCUAUUAACCAUUCUUGGAUGUAGCCAUUGGGUUUUUCAAGGAGGAAAAAAUAUAUAAUUUCCGUGGACAGGAUGGUCCUUUAUUAUGACAUAAUGCUUUCACUUAGAAAACUUUAGAUGGAUAAAUUCCUGAAAACAGGUUAUUCCUUUAGAAUUGGAUUAAGUUAGGGUUUUAAAGAGUUGGGUUAAGGCUAAUGGGCUUAAGAUAAACUCUUGGGGGGAGAUUAUUGCUGCCAAGCAGGUUUGGCAGCCAACUUCUCACAGCUCAGCACCAGCACUGGAGGAUGCCGGCAUUCUGGCAUCAUUUUGAGUCUCCUGUUAAUUGUGACUCUAGAGAGCAGUAAGAGUUUUAAUUCCCAUGUAAAAGAGUUUACAUCUUGCUAUUUUUGAAGUAAUAGAUUUUAGCAAAGAGUAUUCUAAUUUAAACAUUUUAUUAAAUAAUUUAGAUGUAUGACCUGCCAUAUUCAGUAAGAACUGAGAUUGGAAUAUUUAAUGACUCCAAUUCCAGGGUUUCAGAACAGCAUCGCAGCAUCUUUCCUGAAAUGCACUCAGACUCAGCCAGCAAAGACGUGCCUGGCCGCAUCCUGCUGGAUAUAGACAAUGAUACCGAGAGCACUGCCCUGUGAAGAAAGCCCUUUCCCAGCCCUUCACCACUUCCACCCUGGCGAGUGGAGCAGGGGCAGGCGAACCUCUUUCUUUGCAGACCGAACAGUGAAAAGCUUUCAGUGGAGGACAAAGGAGGGCCUCACUGUGCGGGACCUGGCCUUCUGCACGGCCCAAGGAGAACCUGGAGGCCACCACUGAAGCUGAAUGACCUGUGUCUUGAAGAAGUUGGCUUUCUUUACAUGGGAAGGAAAUCAUGCCAAAAAAAUCCAAAACAAAGAAGUACCUGGAGUGGAGAGAGUAUUCCUGCUGAAACGCGCAUAGGAAGCUUUUGUCCCUGCUGUUAAUGCGGGCAGCACCUACAGCAACUUGGAAUGAGUAAGAAGCAGUGCGUUAACUAUCUAUUUAAUAAAAUGCGCUCAUUAUGCAAGUCGCCUACUCUCUGCUACCCGGACGUUCAUUCUUAUGUAUUAGGAGGGAGGCUGCUCUCCUUCAGACUUGCUGCAGAAUCAUUUUGUAUCAUGUAUGGUCUGUGUCUCCCCAGUCCCCUCAGAACCAUGCCCAUGGAUGGUGACUGCUGGCUCUGUCACCUCAUCAAACUGGAUGUGACCCAUGCCGCCUCGUUGGAUUGUCGGAAUGUAGACAGAAAUGUACUGUUCUUUUUUUUUUUUUUUUAAACAAUGUAAUUGCUACUUGAUAAAGACCGAACAUUAUUCUAGUUUCAUGUUUAAUUUGAAUUAAAUAUAUUCUGUGGUUUAUAUGAAAA